rnacentral:rRNA from 1 species
GCCUAACACAUGCAAGUCGAGCGGAAACGACACUAACAAUCCUUCGGGUGCGUUAAUGGGCGUCGAGCGGCGGACGGGUGAGUAAUGCCUAGGAAAUUGCCUUGAUGUGGGGGAUAACCAUUGGAAACGAUGGCUAAUACCGCAUAAUGCCUACGGGCCAAAGAGGGGGAUCUUCGGACCUCUCGCGUCAAGAUAUGCCUAGGUGGGAUUAGCUAGUUGGUGAGGUAAUGGCUCACCAAGGCGACGAUCCCUAGCUGGUCUGAGAGGAUGAUCAGCCACACUGGAACUGAGACACGGUCCAGACUCCUACGGGAGGCAGCAGUGGGGAAUAUUGCACAAUGGGCGAAAGCCUGAUGCAGCCAUGCCGCGUGUAUGAAGAAGGCCUUCGGGUUGUAAAGUACUUUCAGUUGUGAGGAAGGGGGUGUUGUUAAUAGCAACUAUACUUGGCGUUAGCAACAGAAGAAGCACC